rnacentral:snoRNA from 1 species
AUAUUCGGAGUAGGGCACUUCCUGAAAUAUUCUUUAAAUAUUUCUCAUGCUUCUGGAUAGCUCUCAAUGUCAUUUUGCUUAAAAGUAUGUACUUCAUUUCGGAUAU